rnacentral:lncRNA from 1 species
CAUGUCACUCAAACCAGCUGUAUUAAGGAAGGUGCAAGCUUUUGGGAUUUCUGUUUGGAUUUAGUUUAGGUUCAAAAGAGCACGCACAGAUCCUGAGUGUUGUCAAGCACCCGUGACUGGGAAACGGAGGCGUCCGAUCCGUAUUGGAGUCAAUUCGCCACUUAAUUGAACACAGCCUCGAAGGGAAGGGCCAUAUUUGUGGGCCUGUCUAACAAUUAAGAGUGACCACAUGGAAUGGGGGAUGAAAGGGUUAAAGAAGAACAAAUAUUGAACACAGCUUUUCUAUGAACAAACUGCAGGCAGCUGCUGCUUUGCAAGGGAAGCAGUUGAUUGAGAAUAAUGGUUCUGUUUUGGAGGUUGAUGGAAGAUGCCCUUUGGCCAGGAAAACAGCUCAUGCUUUUAGAGGAGGAUAAUUGCCAGAAGGCCUCUCUGAAUAAAAAAAAAUCCUGACCUCACAGCCUUUGCGCUUACUUGGGUUAGAAUGCCACAGUGAACAUUGCCCCUUGUCAUCACGUAGAGGUGCUCACAGGUAAAGCAACACAAGGAGCAUAUAGGAUCACCUGCUGGAUCUUGUUUUUAACACCAGGGAGGAAAAUGGUGUCUUGGGUAAUGAACAUGCCUCAAGACUGAGCUGGCCAUCUUCAGUGUCAUCCAAACCCUCAGUGGCCCCUGAAAAACCCUUUGAAAAGAUUCAGCACGUUGCCAUGGAGAACAUCCCACUGAAGGAAUGUAUAGAAGUAGCAGGGUUAACUGAGUGCCUUCCAUCUUCCCUCCAAGGGAUCUGCAAUGAGAUGGGAGAAGGCAACAGGCUGUGUGGGAACCACUGAAGCUGGGAUGGCAGGGAAAGAACAUCUUAGGCUAACUCUUCAAGCCUUGCUGUCACAUUUGCUUUUGAGUCUAUGGUGUCAGCUGCCUACCAGUUGCUUUCAUCUCUAGAAAUCUGUGACUUGCAGUAUGACAAGAACAAAAGGUGACAAUACAAAGGACAAAGGGCAAGGAAUACAGACGGAGAAGCCGCUUAGAGUCUAGGAUGGCAGAGGUUCUCUUGAUCAUUUCAUUUUUGAGCGCUUGUAGAGCUUUGGUGUACCAGAGGUGCUUGAACAGCUUACCACACCACAGAUGAAUGGCCUUUGGAUUUCUCCUAAGAAAAUGUGGCUACCUGAAAUUCAACUCCAUUUUCUGGUCUUCAAUAUUUCUUUUGUGUUCAGUUUGCCAGCUGAGGAGAAGUGGCUAAGCAUAGCCUGUUACUGAUGCUAAAGCCCAAGUUCUGAACCUAACAACUCCAGCAACAUGAUCCUGUUUCAAGAGACAAAAAAGUGACUAA